rnacentral:rRNA from 1 species
AUUGGACGCUGGCGGCAGGCCUAACACAUGCAAGUCGAAUGGUAACAGGAAACAGCUUGCUGUUUCGCUGACGAGUGGCGGACGGGUGAGUAAUGUCUGGGAAACUGCCUGAUGGAGGGGGAUAACUACUGGAAACGGUAGCUAAUACCGCAUAACGUCGCAAGACCAAAGAGGGGGACCUUCGGGCCUCUUGCCAUCAGAUGUGCCCAGAUGGGAUUAGCUAGUAGGUGGGGUAACGGCUCACCUAGGCGACGAUCCCUAGCUGGUCUGAGAGGAUGACCAGCCACACUGGAACUGAGACACGGUCCAGACUCCUACGGGAGGCAGCAGUGGGGAAUAUUGCACAAUGGGCGCAAGCCUGAUGCAGCCAUGCCGCGUGUAUGAAGAAGGCCUUCGGGUUGUAAAGUACUUUCAGCGGGGAGGAAGGGAGUAAAGUUAAUACCUUGGCUCAUUGACGUUACCCGCAGAAGAAGCACCGGCUAACUCCGUG